rnacentral:rRNA from 1 species
UACCAGCACCCCGAGUGGUCGGGACGAUUAUUGGGCCUAAAGCAUCCGUAGCCGGCCUUACAAGUCCUCCGUUAAAUCCAGCUGCUUAACAGAUGGGCUGCGGAGGAUACUAUAAGACUAGGAGGCAGGAGAGGCAAGCGGUACUCAGUGGGUAGGGGUAAGAUCCGUUGAUCCAUUGAAGACCACCAGUGGCGAAGGCGGCUUGCCAGAAUGCGCUCGACGGUGAGGGAUGAAAGCUGGGGGGGCAAACCGG